GUGAAAGUGUCACUUACUGAAGCCCUGUAUUUAUCCACAGAAUGGGUACAGCAUGAGCAAGUACAAUGGCAGCUCCCAUCAGACUGCCUCCUCCCCCAUUCUGCAUGUCUUACACCCAGACCCAGAAUGACUCCACUGCAUUAGCAGAGAAAGGUGCAUUCAGUCUUUGUGCCAUAUUCAGUCCUUGGCCUUG
rnacentral:sRNA from 1 species